rnacentral:rRNA from 1 species
UGGGGAAUCUUGGACAAUGGGCGCAAGCCUGAUCCAGCCAUGCCGCGUGAGUGAAGAAGGCCUUCGGGUUGUAAAGCUCUUUUACCAGGGACGAUAAUGACGGUACCUGGAGAAUAAGCCCCGGCAAACUUCGUGCCAGCAGCCGCGGUAAUACGAAGGGGGCUAGCGUUGUUCGGAAUUACUGGGCGUAAAGCGCACGUAGGCGGAUUGUUAAGUCAGAGGUGAAAUCCCGGAGCUCAACUUCGGAACUGCCUUUGAUACUGGCAAUCUAGAGUCCGGAAGAGGUUAGUGGAAUUCCCGGUGUAGCGGUGAAAUGCGUAGAUAUUGGGAAGAACACCAGUGGCGAAGGCGGCUUACUGGUCCGAUACUGACGCUGAGGCGCGAAAGCGUGGGGAGCAAACAGGAUUAGAUACCCACGUAGUCCCUGAGCGGGCUGGCAAGGCGCAU